rnacentral:misc_RNA from 1 species
GAUGAAGAACGCAGCGAAACGCGAUAUGUAAUGUGAAUUGCAGAAUUCAGUGAAUCAUCGAAUCUUUGAACGCACAUGGCGCCUUCCAGUAUCCUGGGGGGCAUGCCUGUCCGAGCGUCGUUUCAACCCUCGAGCCCUCGUGGCCCGGCGUUGGGGAUCUGCCACGGCAGGCCCCGAAAUACAGUGGCGGACCCGUUAGGCCCUUACUUUGCGUAGUAGCAUCAGCCUCGCAUCGGGAGCCGGCGGGCUCUCCUGCCUCUAAACCCCCCAACAAGCCCGCUCCGGCGGCACCAAGGUUGACCUCGGAUCAGGUAGGAAUACCCGCUGAACUUAAGCAUAUCAAUAAGCGGAGGA